CGCGUAGGCGGGCCUCCAGUCCGGGGUGAAAGCUUUCGGCUUAACCGGAAAAGUGCCUUGGAUACUGGAGGUCUGGAGGGAGGUAGGGGCAAUCGGAACUUCCGGUGGAGCGGUGAAAUGCGUUGAUAUCGGAAGGAACGCCGGUGGCGAAAGCGGAUUGCUGGACCUUUUCUGACGCUGAGGCGCGAAAGCCAGGGGAGCGAACGGGAUUAGAUACCCCGGUAGUCCUGGCCCUAAACGAUAGGUACUGGGUAGGGGACUGGACAUGGGUUCCCUGCCGCAGCGAAAGUGGUAAGUACCCCGCCUGGGGAGUAUGGUCGCAAGGCUGAA
rnacentral:rRNA from 1 species